rnacentral:rRNA from 1 species
CUACAGGAGGCAGCAGUGGGGAAUUUUGGACAAUGGGCGCAAGCCUGAUCCAGCCAUGCCGCGUGAGUGAAGAAGGCCUUCGGGUUGUAAAGCUCUUUCGGUGAAGACGAAACGGUUCGCGUUAAUAGCGCGGACUAAUGACGGUACUCACAGAAGAAGCACCGGCGAACUACGUGCCAGCAGCCGCGGUAAUACGUAGGGUGCAGGCGUUAAUCGGAAUUACUGGGCGUAAAGCGUGCGCAGGCGGUUUGCUAAGACAGGUGUGAAAUCCCCGGGCUUAACCUGGGAAUUGCGCUUGUAACUGGCAAGCUAGAGUGUGGCAGAGGGGGGUGGAAUUCCACGUGUAGCAGUGAAAUGCGUAGAUAUGUGGAGGAACACCGAUGGCGAAAGCAGCCCCCUGGGUUAACACUGACGCUCAGGCACGAAAGCGUGGGGAGCAAACAGGAUUAGAUACCCUUGUAGUC